GUCGAGAGGCUGCCUGAGUCAGAGGCUGUAUGUCAUUAGGUUCUUCUAACGUCUAAAGUGCUGUGAGUAUGGAGGAACAUUGUCAGACACAAGAAAGAGCAUCAAGUAAGUCAUCUGAAUUCUUUGGGCCGCCACCUCACUGUGUAUAAAAUAAAGCCUGGCACCUGUGUUUGCUCUGUUUGUACCAUUUUACUGCUCCAUACCAAGAGUCCAAGUGGCACAAAUUCUGGGCCCGUUGUCCAUCACAAACAAGACAUUGAUUUAUAUAUUGGGACUGCAGCUUUUCACCUCUGGUUCCUACAUCUGGAUUGUAGCCAUAAGUGGACUUAUGUCCGGUCUGUGCUACGACAGCAAAAUGUUCCAGGUGCAUCAGGUGCUCUGCAUCCCCAGCUGGAUGGCAAAAUUCUUUUCUUGGACACUUGAACCCAUCUUCUCUUCUUCAGAACCCACCAGCGAAGCCAGAAUUGGGAUGGGAGCCACGCUGGACAUCCAGAGACAGCAGAGAAUGGAGCUGCUGGACCGGCAGCUGAUGUUCUCUCAGUUUGCACAAGGGAGGCGACAGAGACAGCAGCAGGGAGGAAUGAUCAAUUGGAAUCGUCUUUUUCCUCCUUUACGUCAGCGACAAAACGUAAACUAUCAGGGCGGUCGGCAGUCUGAGCCAGCAGCGCCCCCUCUAGAAGUUUCUGAGGAACAGGUCGCCCGGCUCAUGGAGAUGGGAUUUUCCAGAGGUGAUGCUUUGGAAGCCCUGAGAGCUUCAAACAAUGACCUCAAUGUCGCCACCAACUUCCUGCUGCAGCACUGAUAUUCCCAGGCCAACACUGGGACCGGACCGGCAGCCGAGUGACAGUGCGUGGUCCCCAC
rnacentral:sRNA from 1 species